AGUCUGGCUGGCAGACCAGGCAAUAGGACAUUCUCCCUUUCACCUCCACAGAGAUCCGUAUGGAUAUUUGAAAAUUGCCUUCCUCUUCUCAGAACCUGAAGCCAUCUAGAAGUCUUUUAUGACUUGUUUCCUUUAGAGUGUUAUAGGAGAGGAGUCCAUUGACCUCAGAGAGCCUCAAAGAAAAAUAUAACACUGAAAUACAGUAAAUAUAAAUUUGAAAGUCUUCAUUAAAAAGAACACUGGCAGAGAACUUGGCCCAGUUGUUUUCUAGUGUUUUGUGGAAAGCAGAACUUUUAAAUAAUGAUGAACUUGAAUAUUUAACUGAGGCAAUAUCUAAGCAGGGUUGAAGGCACAGCCUGGUUCUCCUUGCUGAUUACAGUAAAAUCAAGAGGAAGGAGGUGAACCAAAGAAGAAACUGUUAAGCAAAGAACAUAACUUGAUGACUGGGAAGACUCUCAGCCUACUGAGAUAGUGUGUUCUGGAAACAGGACCAAGUGUGUGGAUGAACAGUUGUUCACUAGACAGACUAGACAUGUGAUUCAUGGUUCCAAUAAAUUAUCUCAGCAGAAGGCAGAAAUGGAGAUGCAUUUAUCUAUGAGAGAUCUGUUAAGGACUCUCUCUCUGAUGGCCUUGACUUCCAUGAAUUCUUUCUUGACAUCCAUGUCAGGAACAAGGAUUUUGAGAACUGUAUAUGAGCAAAAUUACUGUCAACCUGGAUUGAAAAGGGUAGAAAUAGGAUGGAAUGAAGAACACAGGACUUUGUGAACAGUGCCACAGAUACAGAGACAAGGAGGACUCUUACUGUCACCAUAAACCCAGAGGGCAUAGUCCCAAGGGACAGAGCAUCUCCUCCUGGCUACGGAAGAACAGAACCAUCUCUUAGGUUCUACAAAGAGUCCCACCUUCCGAGCUGUUGUUCAGGCUGCCACCUGUUGUUCAGGCUGGGCCUAGAGGCAGAGCAUCAAGCCAAAAAGGGUGUUUUUUUAAGCCUUAAUAUCUAAUGGAAUUUGCCCUGAAAAUUUUCAGAUUUGCUUGGGAACUGCAACCUCUUUUUACUAUAUGAUUUCAUCCUUUUGGAAUGUGAAUGUCUCUCCUAUGCCUGUCCUACCAUUGUAUUUUGAAAGCACAAUAACUUGUCUGGUGUCACAGGCUCAGAGAUGAAGAGAAAUUUUGCCCCAGGAUGAACCCUACCUUGUGUCUUACCCAUAACUGAGUUAGAUAAUGUUUGGAGGAGACUUUAGACUUAGAGAUGAUGCUGGAAUGUGUUAAGAUGUUUGACCUUACAAGUGAAUAUAUUUUGCAUAUAAGAAGGACAUGACUUUUAGGGGAGUCACAGAUCAGACUGAUAUGAGUUGAAUUGUGUCCCUGCUACCAAAUUCAUAUGUUGAAAUCCUAACCCCCAGUAGCUCACAAUGUGGCUUUGUUUGGAGAUAGGGUCCUCACAGAGGUAAUUAAGUUAAGAUGAGGUCAUUAGAGUGGAGCCUAAUCCAGCGUGGCUGAUGUCCACAUACAAACGGGGAAAUGUGGUCACAGAGACACACAUGCAUGUGGAGAUGACAUGAAGAGACAUAGGGAGAUGAUGGCUAUCCAAAACUAAAGGAGAGAGGCUUGAAAUAAAACUUGUAUUCAUACCCCUCAGAAAGAACUAACCCUGCUGAUACCUUGAUAUUAGACUUCUAACAUCCAGAACUGUGAGCAGUAAAUUUCUGUGGUUUAAGCCAUGCAGUUUGUGGUACUUUUUUAUAGCAGCUCUAGCAAAGUAAUAUAAUAAGACAUGAUUGAGAUUCACUAGUUCUUUCACAACCUGUGAUUAAACUUAUAAAAUAGCCUCAGUGUUCUCAGUUCAAUAAAUAAUUAAAUGCCUACUCUGUGUAGUGCUUUGUAACAACAGCUAAAGAGAAUAAUAAUAAUAAAAAAACACAGUCCAUGCUCAUGGGUUAUGGUUUGGAAUAAUCAAAUUCUAAAAUGUCUGAAAAAAUGUGAGUUGGCUGCUAACAAAUGGAUUCUUAGAGUAAGUCAUACAUUUGAAUGGGAAACUUUUUUUUUUUUACAUUUGAAUUGGAAAACAUUUUUUGUUGUUUCUUCAAAUGACCUGACUCCCACCUUUAAUAAUACUCAAGCAGCACUGCUAGAAAGUGUAAACUUAUUUUCAGUAGGGUGAUGAUAGAAUGUCAAUGAAAGCCAUUGACAUUCUCAUAGUGAGUACAAUAUAUCACUGCCUGCUUCACAAUUGUGCACAGAGCUGUAUCAGUUUUUCAACUCAAAUAUAUAUGAAAAGUAUAGUUCUUAUUUGUUCUAUGCUUCUGGAUACGUAUAAAGUAUAUGCCAGUUACUUUGAUGAGUUGUAUUGCUACUGAACAAAACUACCUAGUGACAAUCUGUGAUCUCUUUGUUUUAAAGUAUUUUUUAAGUUUUUUUUUUAAAUUUUUUACAAAAGCAUCACUUAAAUGUAGUUGUUUUAAGAAUUUGAACUCCAAAUUCUUUCAGGUAUGAUUUGCACAUGUUCUUCUAUUUUAUGUAGAGGCAGGUUUUACAAGUACUUUACUAAGCAUUCUUUAUUUUUUAUCUAUGGAGCCAGAUAAUUACCAUUAUGUUGUACUGCUAUCAUUUUUCAAGAUAAAUUUGGUAUUUGAUGACAAUACGUCUGCCUAAUAUAUUAUAAUAUAUCAUGUUGUGAAUCACAGGACAAUUUGUUGAUAAAUUCUGCUAGUAAUGAUGGCAAUCAUUCAUAGAGACAAUUCAUGAAUCAGGACAAGACUACAACCUUUAGAUUUAUGGAACAAUAAAUUUAAGCAUAGAGGUAGUAGUAACGAAAUUUGCUGAGUAUGUUCUGAGAGAAUAGCUG
rnacentral:lncRNA from 1 species